rnacentral:lncRNA from 1 species
AAACAAUCAAUAUUAACUAUUUUUUCAACAUAAAGGAGAUAACUUUACAUGCUAAAAACAAACAUAUCUAUCAACAAUAAAUUUAAACAAAGUAUGAGUACAUAUUUUAAGCAAAGAAUAAAACUUUACCUAUAAUAAUCAAAGAAUAAAGCCCAAAAACACGUUCAACUAUUCCUAGCUCAUUUUUAUACCAUGAAUAUAAAAGUAGCCCUAAUAUCGAUACCAUAACUUCCUAUGACCUUCAAGUCCGUCUACGGCAAACAAUCCCAGCAAAUAAAAUUACAACUACGAACUACGAAGAAGAAAAAGAUGAAGAAGAAAACGAUAAUAAAACUAAAAACAAUUACAACUACGAACUACGAAGAAGAAAAAUAUGAAAAAGAAAACGAUAAUAAAACGAAAAAAAGGGACAGGUAUGUUUACCUUUUUUAGGACAACAAAACGGAACUACAAGCUUUCUUCGGAGUCUUGAUUACCACCGAAAAGCUUUCAACUCGAGAACUUCAAUUAGCCCACGAAUUUCACGAAAAAAGAAAAUUUUUACUAAAAAAAAAACUUCUUUGCUCAGAACUUUUUUUUUUUCAACCUUGAGACUUUUAGACUUUUAGACUUUGAGACUUUGCAUUGCAAUUAUGAUCAAUUUGAUUUGAAUUAUGGUCAAAUCUAAUAGAUUGACUAAAUUAAAUUGAAAUUCGAUACGAAUUAAUACUUUCUUUAAUCUUGGGCUUCUUGAUUUAAUAAAAUCAAACAUAUAUUCAUCCAAAUAAUUAUUUUUGAGAGUAAAUUAUAUCUAAAUCAAAACUUUAUCCGUUCGAAUUAAUUUUCAAACUUAUCUCCGUAAAAACUCAAACUUUGAUAAAAAUAAUCAUUCAAGUAACAAAAUUUAUACAAUCUCGUAUAUGUGAAUACGUAAAAUGUAUAAUCGUUACUUAAAUGACAAAAUUAACCUAAAUAAAUAUUUUAGAGCGCAUUUUCCCAGAUGAAAUAAAUAUUUCACUUUUAUUUAAAAUUGAAGAAACUCAGGAUUAAAUUAAGUCGUGGAGGGCAAAAAUUAGGUGUCAACAAUGACUAACUUUUUUUGGUCGAAAAUCUAUUAACCUUAAGCCUGUCAAGUGGGCUGGGCUGAUCCGGCCCACUUAAAGGACCCGGCCCGAUAAUCCUUAGGGCUUUAGGGUUCCGGGUCCCGGGCUGGUUAUUUUUUUAAUUUGAGCCCGGUUAACCGGCCCGGAAUCAAUUUUUUUUUUAAUUUUUUUUUUUGAGUUUUUUUAAAAUUAGUAUAUAACUUAGUAUAUAACUAUAUCUAUAUACAUUGUAAUGUGUAUAUAUUGUAGUAUAUUUAAUUUAAA